rnacentral:rRNA from 1 species
UUCCUUAAGAAAAUAUUUAAGGUACUGCCUGCUCGAUGAUAUAAAUAAAGUAUAAAUUGCUGCGGUAUCUUAACUGCACUAAGGUAGCAUAAUUAAUUGUCUUUUAAAUGGUGACUUGUUUGAAUGGCGUAAUGAGAGAAAGAUUUUCUUUGAGUUAAUAUGAAAUUAUAUACUGGGGUCAAAAUACCCAGAAAUAGUAGAAAGACGAGAAGACCCUGUUGAGUUUUACAGUUAGUCUGUUUAAAUGGGAAAUUUAAUCCCUAAUUGGGAUUUAAUUGAUCUUGGAAAAUUUAUUUUUCGGAUAUAGGAUAAAAUUACCACAGGGAUAACAGGACAAUGCCAACUAAGAGUCCAAAUUAAAGUUGGCGAUUGUUACCUCGAUGUUGAAUCGGAAAUGUCCUACUGGUGCAACGGUUAGGUAGGAGGGUCUGUUCGACCUUUAAACUUCC